GAUGAACGCUGGCGGCGUGCUUAACACAUGCAAGUCGAACGAGGUCCAACCUUCGGGUGAAGACCUAGUGGCGAACGGGUGAGUAACACGUGGGCAAUCUACCCCCCCCUCUGGGAUAACUCCGGGAAACCGGAGCUAAUACCGGAUACCCCGUUCAGGUCGCAUGGCCUGAUCGGGAAAGCUCCGGCGGAGAGGGAUGAGCCCGCGGCCCAUUAGCUUGUUGGUGGGGUAAUGGCCCACCAAGGCGACGAUGGGUAGCCGAGCUGAGAGGCUGAUCGGCCACACUGGGACUGAGACACGGCCCAGACUCCUACGGGAGGCAGCAGUGGGGAAUCUUGCGCAAUGGGCGAAAGCCUGACGCAGCAACGCCGCGUGCGGGAUGAAGGCUCUCGGGUCGUAAACCGCUUUCAGCAGGGACGAAAAUGACUGUACCUGCAGAAGAAGCCCCGGCUAAAUACGUGCCAGCAGCCGCCGUAACAC
rnacentral:rRNA from 1 species